UUAUGCUCAUUUCUGCAACAUGGAGCAACUCCUUACCGCCUGGAAUCAGUCAGUCCACAGCCUGUUAUCAGUCCCUGGCAGCCCCCUGCAGCCACCCCAUGGCUCGCAGCUUCCCUGAGCACCACGCUGUGGCAGGAUUUCAGUAGCACAGCUUCCCACGGCGAACUAGGCACGGCUGGCGGCUAUCUGCUUCGAUUUCCUUGUUUGUUUUCUGCCUCUUCUUAUCUGCUUGUGAGCGGCUUCUUCCACUGCUUUUUAAAUAACCACAGCAACUACAUUUAUUGGAAACGUGUUGUUGCAAACGCUGUCUUUCAACCACAGCAUCCGUUACCUGUACCGUGUGAUUUGCAAGACACCAUCCCCAGAAAGGCCCCCGGGGACACACAGGAUGCUCCUCAUCGCCUUUCCCCCCCCAAGAAGCACGGCCUGGUGGAGCAUGCACACCUGUGUGUCUGUGCUUCGGGUUGGGGGCUGCAGAGCCCUCCUGUCCCCACUCUGCACCAGUGAGUGAGGGCACACCAAAACUGCACAAGAAUCCUACCGAUGUCAGCAGCGCUCAGUGUGAGUACUUAAGUUCUGAUCUCUUGCACCAAGAGACCACAGCCAGCACCUGAAGCAUUUAUUGUGCAGAGCAGUAAGUCAGCACCCACCCAGCUCCAUCUUGGACUCUUCUACUCAUACACUGAGAAAAUUUAAAACUCUGCCUGACAGAUUGAAAUAAGGCUAAAAAAAACAUUUUCAGUUUCUACUGAAAUGACACUUCCAUUAAAUGAAAAAUUCAGUAAUUUACCCACUAGCCUUCACCUCUGCUUUAGUUAGCCUCCAGAAAUGAAGAUAAAGGACAGUAACUUAUUUUUUACAGUGAGCUCCUUCAAGAAAAAAGGAUUCACUCACCCAGAUAGCUAUGCUGGAUUGUAUUCUAUUGUCAUUUUACUCUUUAUUAGAUCACAGCUUCAGAGAAAAUAGAGUCAUCCUGCAGGGCAUUAGAUUUCCCAGGCUGUAUUUGUAUAGAAAUACUCCUUCUUAGUUUCCAGAAAAAUCUACUGUUCAUCUUCGUAUCUGUCUCCUCCCGUAACUAUUCACAUAGUAAGAGGGAGUCCUGGAUGCCUGUAACAGAAGCCCGUAUCUGAGGUAGAUGAUAUGACUGUGAAAUUUGAUAAAGACACAACAGCUGAAACAUUGAAAGCAAUAAACUAGAAGAUUGCUAAAGGCUGCUAAUUAAAGCCUGCCUGUUAAUAAUUACAAUAUCUAAUACUUUGUAUUUGUAUAUAGCCUGUAUUUGUAUUAGCCUAGAUAACCUUUUUCUAAAACAAACAAACAUUUAAAAUAUGUUUGAUAAUAAACAGCAAAAAGCCACAAAGCUCGCAUACAUGCUGGUGUUAAAAAGAUGUGCUUCUUUGUAUUAAAUCACUUGCAUCCUAAUAAAACAAUCUAAAGAGUAAUUAAAGUCUAAAACAUUUCUAAGUGCCACUGUGCUGCAACAAGGCAAAUGCUCAGUCAGAUCUAAAGUCUACAAGCAGUGGGAGCUUCCAGCAGAAUGCCCAAUGCCAAUGUGCCUGGAUUUUGCAAUACUUUCACUGCAGUUUCAAAACACGUUGACCUUCAGUGCAUGCUUUCAAGCUCAUCUGGUAGCUCCAGAGUUGAGAAGGACCGAGGCAGCUGGGUAAAUAGGAGAGCAGAAGAAGGUCUCUAAAUGCUGAGGGAACCAUCUCAGAUCUGCCUGGCAUUGUCAUGCCAUAGGGUGGACUUGUUUCUACUGUCAAAGCAUACAUGAACUGAUAGACUUUUCACACAGAAGAGUGGUAUUUUGUAUUUAUACAUGGCUAAAGUGGACAGAUUUGAAUGAGAAGCCUUUCGCAAAUGAAAUUCACCAGCCCAAAUAUACACCACUCUCAAAAAAUGCAGCUACUGCAACAAAAGAGAAAACAUCAAUCGAAACACUUAAUAAAGCUCCACAAUCGUUAACGGAGUUUUCAGACAAGCCCACGGACGCUGUCAGUCGAAUUGCACCUUAUUCCUGCACAAUUUCAUAAAACAUCCCCAGCCUCCCUGGCACUAAGCACCUGGGCCCCGACCCAGCCCCAUGGCGGCGUGAGGCGCGGGGAAAAUGGCCGCUCGCCUCACAGCGCCAGCGGGGGGCAGCACCCGCACGGCAACCGGCCGCCUGACCCGCUGCCGACGGGCUGGCUUAAUUAAAACGUGGUAUGCUUCAUUAUGAAGUUCCCUCCUUCUCUGUGAUUGUAUCCUCUUGCUGCGGUUCCAGCAGGAAACGCGUAAAAUGCGUAAUCGUGCGUGCUGAGUAACUGAAAGCUUCAAUAUUUGUUUCCUCUG
ensembl:lncRNA